GAAAGCAAGCACGAUGCCCUUGGUUAUUGAUUACAAGGCGAAGCCAGGACCUUCCACGAUGCAAGGAGGACUAGACACAGCCAUCACCGUCAGUGAAGUCGGGAUAAAUAUUGAUGUUUCCCGGAAAUUGACUGCCCUCCUGAUCAAAGAGCUGGCCUGAGCCUUCUUCAUAGCACGAAGAGUGAGUGAUGCAAUUCUUGAAGUGGAGAUUACAAAUAUAGAACAUGCGAGACAAGCGUGUAAGGAAAUGGCAGCAAUUGGACACAAAGACCACUCUGAAGAACUAGCACUGAAAGCAAAAACGAUGCGCUUGGAUUUUAAUUACAAGGCGAAGCCAGGACCUUCUACCAUGGAAGGAGGAUUGGACACAGUGAUCACCGUCAGUGCAGUCGGGAUAAAUAUUGAUGUUUCCCGGAAAUUGACUGCCCUCCUGAUCAAAGAGCUGGCCUGAGCCUUCGUGAGUUCGUAUAUGGUUUUCUAGAAAAAAAGGGAAUGCUUUGCUUUUU